GUUACGGUAAAAUCCAGUCCUGCUAGAAGAGUGGGAUGUGGGUCUGGACCGGCGAGUGAAGAGUGAAGAGUUACCCUGGGAAAUGUGGGCACUAGCUCUGCGACGGGACAAGCAGGAGCUCAUGAGUAGCAGCAUCCGGUGUUGCAACUCCUGACUGCAGAUCAGAGCCUCAUCACCAUCAGUAGCCUUCUGACAAACAUACUAUCCCUGACUUCAGCAGGAACAGCAGGAGCACACUAAUAGGCCAAACUUGUUUUUUGUUGGCCCCCUGAAGAGGAUGAAUUUCACUGAAAUGUAGUUCAGUUCUAAAAACUUACACUGAAUCUAUGCUCAUUGAUUUCCUCUUUAGAACCUCCAGUGAUCACAGCCCUGAGGUGCAUUGGAGAAAAUACUACAAAACAGAGAAAAAUCAAAGGCAGAGCAGGACUUGCUGCACCUGGGAUUUUCAGGAGAACAG